AAUUUUACAUUUAUGGUCGAAAACCCAGAAAUAGUUGUUUGACGAAGAAAUUUUAUCGGGCUUAUUGCUAAUCGGCACAUCAUUUGGAUAUGGUUAUGGAAAGUACGCUCCCGUUCGAUUGAUUCUGCUUAGGUUCCUUGGGGCAUAUCUGAACAUAUUUAUUCAUAGACUAUGGAAACUGAUCAUCUUUUAAGCCCCUUCAUUAUUUUGUUCAUAGUAAGCAAUACAAGAUGCCUUGGUUGAUACCUCGCGUGAUGUAAUGGAUAUCUAUAAACCAAUCAUGCAGAAGGUUACGACUGAGAUACGACUUGAGCACAAUGCACUAGUCUGUAACCUUCAGGAUAUUUUCACCUCUCAUUAAUGCAUUCCCAAUUGAUGCUAUCUGUAUGUGGCUUUGUUAUCCUUACCACUUGAAUCUUAUCAUGAGAAACAGGCGAGAAAAAUAUUAGGUGAACUUAAGUGAAAGCUUUCGUAAAUUAUAAGUAUUUAUUCCAUUACAUUGUCAGUGUUAGGUUAAGGUAAUUUUAUUUGAAGUGAGGUGCAUUGUCUCGAAUUGUCUUGAAUUAUUAAAAUUGUGCUAUGAAUUAA